GGAAGCAGGGGAUCGUAAGGCCUUGCCCUUUUGGAGCGGCCGAUGUCUGAUUAGCUAGUUGGUGGGGUAAGGGCCUACCAAGGCGACGAUCAGUAGUUGGCCUGAGAGGACGACCAGCCACACCGGGACUGAGACACGGCCCAGACUCCUACGGGAGGCAGCAGCGGGGAAUUUUGGACAAUGGGCGCAAGCCUGAUCCAGCAAUGCCGCGUGAGUGAAGAAGGCCUUCGGGUUGUAAAGCUCUUUCAGUCGAGAAGAAAAGGCUACGGUAAAUAAUCGUAGUUCAUGACGGUACCGACAGAAGAAGCACCGGCUAACUACGUGCCAGCAGCCGCGGUAAUACGUAGGGUGCGAGCGUUAAUCGGAAUUACUGGGCGUAAAGGGUGCGCAGGCGGCUCUGUAAGUCAGAUGUGAAAUCCCCGGGCUUAACCUGGGAAUUGCGUUUGAAACUACAAAGCUAGA
rnacentral:rRNA from 1 species